rnacentral:rRNA from 1 species
CAAGUGUAGGAUGGGCGAAGCCUGUCCAGCCAUGCCGCGUGUGUGAAGAAGGUCUUCGGAUUGUAAAGCACUUUAAGUUGGGAGGAAGGGCAGUAAGUUAAUACCUUGCUGUUUUGACGUUACCGACAGAAUAAGCACCGGCUAACUCUGUGCCAGCAGCCGCGGUAAUAA